UACACCAUAACAGCUCUCUUCCUCUCCUGUUCGUGCACACACAGUGGCUGACCUUGAAGAACCGGAGCCCGACGCUCAUGCCACCCUGCACGGGUGGUCAUUCCCCUCGACUAGCUACCAUCGACGCCCUAAAACCCAACGCCAGCAGACACCCGAUGAACAUCGAGCCUAAUCCCUUAUCCCUCCCUUGGCUGAGAGGUCCCAAUUGUAAGGCAGACCACCACACACGGUGGCGCUGCGGCCUAAACCAUGCUAGCUCGAUCUCUACCCUCUCCUUGGCGACCCUAUUUCUCCGACGAACACCACAGCCAGAUGUGGAUGGGGAACUGAGCUGCUCAGUCAGAGUGCUGUCGGGCGUGUAUGCUCGUGGAUUAGCAUCGGCAUUGUCACUGUAUGGGGGCUGCUGGUAGUGGUCGACCAACAUAAGCAUGGGAAAAUGCACAGCUUUAGGAACAGCAAGGUAUGGGCAUCUCGUUGGCCAAGGUGGAGGCAUAGGCAUAGUGGGUUAGUGCUUCACGUGGGGCAUGGGACAUUGGAUUCUAGAAACUAUGCUAAAAAGGGCGAAUUUCUAAAAAAAAUAUUUUUAUGGAAUCGGGGUUGGACUAGUAGGCAUGACUCUACUGACGUGGCAUCCAGUCAACAUCUUCUAAAAGGUCCAUUUAGCAUUUUCAUGCAAGAACAAGUCUCAACCGUAAUUUCCAACUUGAAUUUAGGAAUUAUCUUUGUUUUUGAGAUUUUAUUCAAACAAUUAGGGGAAUUAUCUUUUGUGAUUUUUAGGGAUUUAUCUUUUAUGAUUUUUAGGAAUUAUCUUGAGCAU